UGCAAGUCGAGCGGAUGAAGGGAGCUUGCUCCUGGAUUCAGCGGCGGACGGGUGAGUAAUGCCUAGGAAUCUGCCUGGUAGUGGGGGACAACGUUUCGAAAGGAACGCUAAUACCGCAUACGUCCUACGGGAGAAAGCAGGGGACCUUCGGGCCUUGCGCUAUCAGAUGAGCCUAGGUCGGAUUAGCUAGUUGGUGAGGUAAUGGCUCACCAAGGCGACGAUCCGUAACUGGUCUGAGAGGAUGAUCAGUCACACUGGAACUGAGACACGGUCCAGACUCCUACGGGAGGCAGCAGUGGGGAAUAUUGGACAAUGGGCGAAAGCCUGAUCCAGCCAUGCCGCGUGUGUGAAGAAGGUCUUCGGAUUGUAAAGCACUUUAAGUUGGGAGGAAGGGUUGUAGAUUAAUACUCUGCAAUUUUGACGUUACCGACAGAAUAAGCACCGGCUAACUCUGUGCCAGCAGCCGCGGUAAUACAGAGGGUGCAAGCGUUAAUCGGAAUUACUGGGCGUAAAGCGCGCGUAGGUGGUUCGUUAAGUUGGAUGUGAAAUCCCCGGGCUCAACCUGGGAACUGCAUCCAAAACUGGCGAGCUAGAGUAUGGUAGAGGGUGGUGGAAUUUCCUGUGUAGCGGUGAAAUGCGUAGAUAUAGGAAGGAACACCAGUGGCGAAGGCGACCACCUGGACUGAUACUGACACUGAGGUGCGAAAGCGUGGGGAGCAAACAGGAUU
rnacentral:rRNA from 1 species